UACGAAGGACCCGAGCGUUAUCCGGAUUUAUUGGGUUUAAAGGGUGCGUAGGCGUCCUGGAAAGUUACGGUUGAAAUCUCCUUGCUCAACAAGGAAACUGGCCGUAAAACUAUCAGGAUUGAGUACAUUUGAAGCGGGCGGAAUGUGUCAUGUAGCGGUGAAAUGCUUAGAUAUGACACAGAACACCAAUUGCGAAGGCAGCUCGCUAAACUGUAACUGACGCUGAGGCACGAAAGCGUGGGGAUCAAAC
rnacentral:rRNA from 1 species